rnacentral:tRNA from 1 species
UCUAUUUUGGCAGAUUAAUUGCAUCAAAUUUAGAAUUUGAAUAUACUUUAGUAAAUAGAA